GUGCCAGCAGCCGCGGUAAUACGUAGGUGGCAAGCGUUAUCCGGAAUUAUUGGGCGUAAAGCGCGCGCAGGUGGUUUCUUAAGUCUGAUGUGAAAGCCCACGGCUCAACCGUGGAGGGUCAUUGGAAACUGGGAGACUUGAGUGCAGAAGAGGAAAGUGGAAUUCCAUGUGUAGCGGUGAAAUGCAUAGAGAUAUGGAGGAACACCAGUGGCGAAGGCGACUUUCUGGUCUGUAACUGACACUGAGCGCGAAAGCGGUGGGGAGCAAACAGGAUUAAGAUA
rnacentral:rRNA from 1 species